rnacentral:rRNA from 1 species
GACGAACCGUGCGAACGUUGUUCGGAAUCACUGGGCUUAAAGGGCGCGUAGGCGGCUCCGCAAGUCCGGGGUGAAAGCCCCCAGCUCAACUGGGGAAGUGCCUCGGAUACUGCGGAGCUCGAGCGAGGUAGGGGUCGUGGGAACUUCCGGUGGAGCGGUGAAAUGCGUUGAUAUCGGAAGGAACGCCGGUGGCGAAAGCGCACGACUGGACCUCUCCUGACGCUGAGGCGCGAAAGCCAGGGGAGCAAACGGG